rnacentral:ncRNA from 1 species
AUUGACGCAUCUUGUGGAGCAAGGUGGGUCCCGUCGUUAAGACUCGGCGACGUAAUCUCGUGAAUUGCUGGAACACCCUUAGAGCUUUCUACACCACAACGUGACUGGUGACAGUGAGCGUGACGGUUUGAAAAGAAGAAAGAUUGGGCAAUCAGCAGCCAAGCAUCUUUGGAAACGGAGAUGAAGGUUCAACGACUAUUGAAAAUUCCUAAAUUACCCAUUAAAUUAAGUGUAUACCGAUUAAGGUAGGUGCUAUUAAUAUGGGUGGUAAGGAAAGAGUAAAUCAUAAUAAUCGGAGACGUUGUUAUGAGGCACGAGACAAAGAGGAAAUCAUAAAAUCGAUUAUCAAUCUUAUAUAAAUCGUAAACAUGAAAAGUUUCUAUCUUUGAUGAUAUAGUCUGACCUCAUGUGAAAGCAUGAG